AAGGCAGGCGCUAAACCGCUGCGCCACCCAGGGAUCCCGGCUUGUCUAAUUUCAAGGAGAGGGAAAGUCUUCAUUUCCUUGUGGGGAGUGGCAUAGGUCAAGGGGAGUAUGUGGAACCAAUAACAUUUAGGAAGUCAUGGGGUGGAUGGGUGGAAACCCAACCCUUUCAUCUUGAGAGAAAGUGGCUUUCAACGAUGCUCAGGCUCUGUGCAGGUUGCAACAAAAGAUAAGAAGUGUGACGGUGGCCGUGACCACCAUAAUUACAGAUGUGGGAAGUUGACUUCCUAAGAUCCCAGACACCAGUGGAGAACAGAGUGGCCUGGAGGCCGAGGCAAUUCCUAGCUAGCUAUCUGAGUCUUGGCCUUCAUUCCAGAGAAUCUGGGAGUCCAGCCAUGUCAGAUGCCAUAAAGGGUCAUGGACUUCUGGCUGCUUGUACUCACAUCCCUGGAUAUCUGAGACUUCCUUCUCAUCUUUUAAAAUGUUCACUGUGAAGCCCUUCUUGAUCCAGCUCAGGUGUGUUGGCUGACCCCUUCUCUAUGUGAAUAAAUUUUAACAGCAACUGUGGCUAUUUAGAUAAAUUCAUUAACUAAUUAAUUCAAAUGUCUCUUUAAACUGGUGCAGCCACUCUGGAAAACUGUGUGGAGGUUCCUCAAAGAGUUAAAAAUAGACCUGCCCUACGACCCAGCAAUUGCACUGUUGGGGAUUU
rnacentral:lncRNA from 1 species